AGAGUUUGAUCCUGGCUCAGAUUGAACGCUGGCGGUAUGCCUAACACAUGCAAGUCGAACGAGGUAGCAAUACCUAGUGGCGGACGGGUGAGGAAUACGUAGGGAUCUGCCCUUAAGUGGGGGAUAACCCGGGGAAACCCGGAUUAAUACCGCAUGAUCUCGCAAGAGCAAGGAGGGGGACCGCAAGGCCUCUCGCUUUUGGAGGAACCUACGUCGGAUUAGCUAGUUGGUGAGGUAAUGGCUCACCAAGGCGACGAUCCGUAACUGGUCUGAGAGGAUGAUCAGUCACACCGGAACUGAGACACGGUCCGGACUCCUACGGGAGGCAGCAGUGGGGAAUAUUGGACAAUGGGCGAAAGCCUGAUCCAGCAAUACCGCGUGUGUGAAGAAGGCCUUCGGGUUGUAAAGCACUUUAAGUUGGGAAGAAAAAGCCUCACCUAAUACGUGAAGCCUUGACGGUACCGACAGAAUAAGCACCGGCUAACUCUGUGCCAGCAGCCGCGGUAAUACAGAGGGUGCUAGCGUUAAUCGGAUUUACUGGGCGUAAAGCGUGCGUAGGUGGUUUGAUAAGUCGAUUGUGAAAGCCCCGGGCUUAACCUGGGAAUUGCGGUCGAUACUGUCAGACUCGAAAACGGUAGAGGGAGGUGGAACUCCAGGUGUAGCGGUGAAAUGCGUAGA
rnacentral:rRNA from 1 species